CCCGGCUUACCAACCCGAUGCAAACUGCGAAUACCGGAGAAUGUUAUCACGGGAGACACACGGCGGGUGCUAACGUCCGUCGUGAAGAGGGAAACAACCCAGACCGCCAGCUAAGGUCCCAAAGUCAUGGUUAAGUGGGAAACGAUGUGGGAAGGCCCAGACAGCCAGGAUGUUGGCUUAGAAGCAGCCAUCAUUUAAAGAAAGCGUAAUAGCUCACUGGUCGAGUCGGCCUGCGCGGAAGAUGUAACGGGGCUAAACCAUGCACCGAAGCUGCGGCAGCGACACUGUGUGUUGUUGGGUAGGGGAGCGUUCUGUAAGCCUGUGAAGGUGUGUCGUGAGGCAUGCUGGAGGUAUCAGAAGUGCGAAUGCUGACAUAAGUAACGAUAAAGCGGGUGAAAAGCCCGCUCGCCGGAAGACCAAGGGUUCCUGUCCAACGUUAAUCGGGGCAGGGUGAGUCGACCCCUAAGGCGAGGCCGAAAGGCGUAGUCGAUGGGAAACGGGUUAAUAUUCCCGUACUUGGUGUUACUGCGAAGGGGGGACGGAGAAGGCUAUGUUGGCCGGGCGACGGUUGUCCCGGUUUAAGCGUGUAGGUGUGUGUUCCAGGUAAAUCCGGUUCACUUUAACACUGAGGCGUGACGACGAGGCACUACGGUGCUGAAGCAACAAAUGCCCUGCUUCCAGGAAAAGCCUCUAAGCAUCAGGUAACAUCAAAUCGUACCCCAAACCGACACAGGUGGUCAGGUAGAGAAUACCAAGGCGCUUGAGAGAACUCGGGUGAAGGAACUAGGCAAAAUGGUGCCGUAACUUCGGGAGAAGGCACGCUGACACGUAGGUGAAGUGAUUUACUCAUGGAGCUGAAGUCAGUCGAAGAUACCAGCUGGCUGCAACUGUUUAUUAAAAACACAGCACUGUGCAAACACGAAAGUGGACGUAUACGGUGUGACGCCUGCCCGGUGCCGGAAGGUUAAUUGAUGGGGUCAGCGCAAGCGAAGCUCCUGAUCGAAGCCCCGGUAAACGGCGGCCGUAACUAUAACGGUCCUAAGGUAGCGAAAUUCCUUGUCGGGUAAGUUCCGACCUGCACGAAUGGCGUAAUGAUGGCCAGGCUGUCUCCACCCGAGACUCAGUGAAAUUGAACUCGCUGUGAAGAUGCAGUGUACCCGCGGCAAGACGGAAAGACCCCGUGAACCUUUACUAUAGCUUGACACUGAACAUUGAGCCUUGAUGUGUAGGAUAGGUGGGAGGCUUUGAAGUGUGGACGCCAGUCUGCAUGGAGCCGACCUUGAAAUACCACCCUUUAAUGUUUGAUGUUCUAACGUGGACCCGUUACCCGGGUUGCGGACAGUGUCUGGUGGGUAGUUUGACUGGGGCGGUCUCCUCC
rnacentral:rRNA from 1 species